GACGGAGUAAUAACAAACGGUUACUUGGACAUACUAGACCACAAAAGAUUUGUGCUAAUGGCUAAAAGGGCUCUGUGCAUACAAUCUCAACAUGCAUUUAAGUACUGCCAAAGAAUGUCUUACUUUUGUAUAAUACUUAUAAAUUCCUUGUAACUAUCUCUGCUAAAGCUGGCUGAGUUGAGGAUCACUGCUUCUCCAUGC
rnacentral:lncRNA from 1 species